rnacentral:rRNA from 1 species
AGACCCGAAACCCGGUGAUCUAGCCAUGGGCAGGUUGAAGGUUGGGUAACACUAACUGGAGGACCGAACCGACUAAUGUUGAAAAAUUAGCGGAUGACCUGUGGCUGGGGGUGAAAGGCCAAUCAAACCGGGAGAUAGCUGGUUCUCCCCGAAAGCUAUUUAGGUAGCGCCUCGUGAACUCAUCUCCGGGGGUAGAGCACUGUUUCGGCUAGGGGGCCAUCCCGGCUUACCAACCCGAUGCAAACUGCGAAUACCGGAGAAUGUUAUCACGGGAGACACACGGCGGGUGCUAACGUCCGUCGUGAAGAGGGAAACAACCCAGACCGCCAGCUAAGGUCCCAAAGUCAUGGUUAAGUGGGAAACGAUGUGGGAAGGCCCAGACAGCCAGGAUGUUGGCUUAGAAGCAGCCAUCAUUUAAAGAAAGCGUAAUAGCUCACUGGUCGAGUCGGCCUGCGCGGAAGAUGUAACGGGGCUAAACCAUGCACCGAAGCUGCGGCAGCGACGCUGAUGCGUUGUUGGGUAGGGGAGCGUUCUGUAAGCCUGUGAAGGUGGCCUGUGAGGG